UCGCGCGUCGACAGCG
rnacentral:rRNA from 1 species